rnacentral:misc_RNA from 1 species
GUUAAACAUUAACUCGGUAUAAAUAUAGGGAACAUUGUAGAGUCGUAUAU